rnacentral:rRNA from 1 species
GAUGAACGCUGACAGCAUGCUUAACACAUGCAAGUCAACCUUUGGCGGACGGGUGAGUAACGCGUAAAGAACUUGCCUCCCAGCUAGGGCCAACAUUUGGAAACGAAUGCUAAUACCUGAUACUGUGAGAGAGCUUUGCGUCCCAUUAGCUAGUUGGAGAGGUAACGGAGCACCAAGGCGAUGAUGGGUAGCCGGCCUGAGAGGGUGAUCGGCCACAAGGGGACUGGGAAGCGAGCAGUACGCAUACGGGGGGAAGGAGUGGGGAAUAGUGGGCGAUGGGCCGAAGUCUGAAGAAGCAAUUCUGAGUGCAAAAUGAUGUUUUCGGGAUGAAAAGUGUUUUGAGUAGGGAAGCGGUACCAACCGAAGAAGUGACGGCUAACUACGUGCCAGCAGCCGCGGUAAUUC